rnacentral:lncRNA from 1 species
UAUUAUUUCCUUUCUCUCUUAUUUCUCUUUGUACAUCUCCCUCUCGACUUCUUCUUCUCCGUCUCAAUUGCAGUGACUCCGACCGACGGUUUGUGGGCUCCUUUAGCCACACCGUCGGUCGGGAUUUGUCUAUUGUUUUCUCUUUUGAUAUCUAUUGUAUAUUUGGAAGUUUAAAGCUUCAUACUUUCUAUAAAUCCUUGUAGAUCCAGAUCUUCAGACCUCUUUUCAGUUGUUUAUUAUGUGGUGUUUGUAGAUCUGUCCAUGCAUGGUCUCUCCCAGUGAAAAACCUCUGUUUCUUUGGGUCUCAGUGUUAAUAGGCUCUGAGCUGAUUUUAAGAUUUUUCUUUGAAUCUGUCUCAUCUUCUCCUCACUGCAUGUGGUUUUAAUUGAUUGCUUCAAGUGGUGAAGGUGUGGGUUAUGGAGGAGUGCUUCUCUUUGGAUGUGAUUGCAACGAUCAGUUGCCUUUACUCUGUGGCUAGUCUCUUUCUUCAGAGAUAGCUGGUUUCUUUCCAAGGAGUUGGAGCUUCGUCUCUCUUUUAACAAGUCAUGGGUAGUCGAUUGGUAAAAUCAGUGUCUCUCCUCGUCUACCCGGGCUCGCUUCAAGUUCUUUAGACUCGUGGCUCUUCCUUAGGAGCAAUAUAAUGAGUUCCAUCUUGAGCUUCAGCCCUAAUAAAGUUCGACUUUGGUUGUUACGCUUCUCUCUUCGCCUCCUUAUCUCAUCCUUUCACUAUCUUGGGUGUUUUGUUGUUAGAACUACUUGGAUUUGUGUCUGUAUGUUUGCUUUUCUAGUGAUGUUCUAUUUUGUCUCCGGUGAUUUAUCUGUUAUCCGCUGGUUUUGCUUCCAGGGAUUGGUUGUUAUCCGCUGGCUACUUUCUGGGAGCUUUCAAGCUCGCCGGCUUUGUAUCUCGUCCUUGUAUCAGGUUCUGUACUUUGGUUUUUAUGUUAAUAAAAUCUUUAGUGUUAAAAAAAAUAUAUUAUUUCCUUUUUUUACCUAAUCAAAUCUCAACCCUUUGAAAAAACGAAUCGAAUCAUAAAUAGUUUACCAUUUUUGACAAAAUGAAGAUAUAUAUGUAUUCAAUGAGUUAAAUAUAUUGUACAAAAGCUACUAAACUCGCGAACAACAUUCUUGUGGAUUGGUAAAAAAAAAACAUUCUUGUGGACGGACCAUUUGGUGUAAUUAUGUUUUAAGACUCUUUAGUGAAUGAGUAAGUUAUAGAUCAGCUAGUCUUUGCGCUGCAGAAUAUUAUAGAAGAAAGCCAUUAUGAUUUCUUGUUUAUAGAUUCAUAUAUAAUAUGUCAUCGUUAAUUCUUUGAAAGAUUUGAUGAAAACUAAUCCUUACCUUACAUAGAACACUUUUACUAUAUAAUUGAUCUUAAACAAGAACUCUAUGAACCGCUAUAUAAUGGAUCUUAACCAAACGCUAAGCAUAUUUUAUAUCAGCUUCAAAGGACAAAUCCUUGUGAACAGAUGCAAGCAAAACAAAAUGCACUAAGAAAAUGCAGAAACGGCUACAACAACGAUAAUAAUGCUUUGUAUCAUUAAGACAAAAGUGAUGUGAUUCCAGUUUUUGGUACUUUUAUUGUCUACAAUGAUUAAAAAGGAAAUGAUUAAAACAAUUAGUUUGGUCUCAAAACAUAUCGGUUCUAGUUUUGUCACUAUAUACCAAAAAGACAACAUCUUGAGAUCACUUCAAAAGGAUGCACUUGCAAGCAAAUUCAGAAAACACAUGCUUCCAAGUCUCAAAAUGCAAUACCUUUUUAGUCUUUUGACUAUGGCUUUGCGGUAUUUAAAGUCCUGAACCGACCUCUACUGUUCCGAAUAAAAGCUUCCACAGGAAACCAUCCGCUUUUGAAAGAGGCUUCAAAGUCAUUGUUCGAUCUUGAUGUAGUGGCUGGUCAGGAGUUUUGAGACUGAUAUGUCUU